UUCGCCCUUUUCCGGUUGAUCCUGCCGGACCCGACUGCUAUCAGAGUGAGAUUAAGCCAUGCGAGUUAACGUAGCAAUACGUGGCGCACGGCUCAGUAACACGUAGUCAACAUGCCCAGAGGACGUGGAUAACCUCGGGAAACUGAGUCUAAACCGCGAUAAGUGAGGAUUUCUGGAAUGGUUCCUGACUAAAAUCUAUAUGGCCUCUGGAUUGGACUGCGGCCGAUCAGGCUGUUGGUGAGGUAAUGGCCCACCAAACCUGUAACCGGUACGGGCUCUGAGAGGAGGAGCCCGGAGAUGGGCACUGAGACAAGGGCCCAGGCCCUAUGGGGCGCAGCAGGCGCGAAACCUCUGCAAUAGGCGAAAGCCUGACAGGGUUACUCUGAGUGACUUUCGCUAAGAAAGUCUUUUGGCACCUCUAAAAAGGGUGCAGAAUAAGGGGUGGGCAAGUCUGGUGUCAGCCGCCGCGGUAAUACCAGCACCCCGAGUGGUCGGGACGAUUAUUGGGCCUAAAGCAUCCGUAGCCGGUUCUGCAAGUCCCCCGUUAAAUCCAGCUGCUCAACAGAUGGGCCGCGGAGGAUACUACAGAGCUAGGAGGCAGGAGAGGCAAGCGGUACUCAGUGGGUAGGGGUAAAAUCCGUUGAUCCAUUGAAGACCACCAGUGGCGAAGG
rnacentral:rRNA from 1 species